GCUUUACGGGAUAACUUGGUCAGUAGAGCAUGAGACUUUUCAUCUCAGGGCUGUGGGUUCGAGCCCCACGUUGGGCA